AACAGAAUAAAGUAAAUGAAUUAUAAAAUAAAUAAAGAACUAAAGAUAGAAAGAAGAAACAGAGAAGCAUUCGAACGGCGGAAAAGAAGAAGGGAAAGAAAAGAAGAAAGGGAAAAUUAGGGAUUUGAAGCUUAGAGUUUAAUUUGGUAAGUCAAUUAGGUUCUUUUUACUUAAUUUUGAUGUUUUAAAAGCUUUAAAACAAUAUUUUAUUGAAAUUAAGUUGAUAUUUUAAGAGUUCAUGGGUUUUCAAGUAUAGUUUAUGUUGAACAAAAAAGAUGAAUUAGGGAUUUAAUUGAAUGAAUUUCAAGUUAGAAUUGAUAAAAGGAUUAAAUUGUGAAGUAAGCUAUAAGUUUUAUGUUUUAGGGACUAAAUUGAGAGAAAUUCGAAAUUAGGAAAAUAUGCUGAAAUUUUAAUAGUAAAAUUUGAGUUUGGAUGAAAUUUGAAUAGAAAGAGAGUGUGAAUUGAAUUAGAAAAGUAAGAAAACUUGGUUAGGAUUAAAUUGAGAACAAGGUAGGAAUCGAUUAGAAAUUCAAUUAUUUAUCAUAAUUAGUGUUGUAAUUAAUAGUGUAAAUUAUUAUUAUUUUCAUAGCUAGCAAAGAACCAGAAGCAUCUGCACGGAAGGAAAAAGAGAAGAUUAUCGAGUAAACUCGAGAAAAUCACGGUUUGUAUUACUAUAAUUCAAAUUAUUUAUUAUUUUAAUGUUAAAUUUAGAUUAUGUAUAAGGUAAGCAAAUAAUAAGAUAAGUGAGAUUAUUGAAUUGAAUUUGGAAAAUUAAAUUGAAUGAGAAAAGUAUGUGUUGGUAUUGAAUUGUGUUUGGAUGAAAAGCUUGAGAUAUCUAGAUCGACUGGGAAACGAGCUGGAUUCUCGAGAUCUUUUCGGUAAACAAGCUCAUACCGAAUUACCAAAAAGAUCUCGAAAAACCAACUCGUUUCUCAAUCGAUCUAGAUAUCUCAGGCUUUUUAUCCAAACCCGACAUCUACUAUUACCAUCUUUGCUAUCUCUACCAAAUCUACAAAUUUCGUAAUUCAAUGUGAUAUCAGCUGUACCCUGAUCUCAUCUCUCAAACCCCAAAGAAACCUUUUACAUUUACUAAUUACAACACAAUUCAAUAUCAACACAUACUUUUCUCAUUCAAUUUAAUUUUCCAAAUUCAAUUCAAUAAUGUCACUUACCUUAUUAUUUGCUUAUCAUACACAUAAUCUAAAUUCAACAUUAAAAUAAUAAAUAAUUUGAAUUAUAGUAAUACAAACCGUGAUUUUCUCGAGUUUACUCCUCGAUAAUCUCCUCUUUUCCCUUCCAUGCCGAUGCUUUUGGUUCUUUACUAGCUACGAAAAUAAUAAUAAAUUACACUAUUAAUUACAGCACUAAUUAUGAUAAAAUAAUUGAAUUUCUAAUCGAUUCCUACAUUUUUCUCAAUUUAAUCCUAACUAAGUUUUCUUACUUUUCUAAUUCAAUUCACACUCUAAUUCUAUUCAAAUUUCAUCUAAACUCAAAUUUUACUAUUAAAAUUUCAGCAUAUUUUUCUAAUUUCGAAUUCCCCUCAAUUUACUCCCUAAAACAUAAAACUUAUAGCUUACUUCAUAAUUUAAUCCUUUUAUCAAUUCUAACUUGAAAUUCAUUCAAUUAAAUCCCCUUUGUUCAACAUAAACUAUACUUGAAAACCUAUGGGCUCUUAAAAUAUCAACUUAAUUUCAAUAAAAAUCUUGUUUUAAAGCUUUUAAAACAUCAAAAUUAAAUAAAAAAAACCUAAUCGACUUACCAAAUUAAACUCUAAGCUUCAAAUCCCUAAUUUUCCUUUUCUUCUUUUCUUUCCCUUUUUCUUUUCCGCCGUUCGAAUGCUUCUCUGUUUCUUCUUUCUAUCUUUUGUUCUUUAUUUAUUUUAUAAUUCAUUUACUUUAUUUUGUUUGUUAGCUUAACAUAUAUUAAUAUAUUUUUUUCUAUUAUAAAUAUCUAUUAAAUAUCUAAUCAUAUAUUCACAUUUUUACACCAUCAAUACCAUACAAUUGUCACUACUUAAUUUGUUUAUCAAAUAAAAAUCUCAUAAUAUAAUUAUUUAAUUAUUAAAUAUCUUUUAAUUUAAUAAUAAUUGAUAAUAUAUAAUCAAUAUCUUAUGUUUAAUUAAUAUUUUUAAUUACACAUGUCUUAUUUUAUCACCAUCCAUUUGUCAAAAUCAUAACUUAUUUAUCAUAAAAAAUCUUAUAAUAUAGUUAUUUUGAAUUAAUUUAAUAUAAUUUAUAACUAAAAUAAUAUAUUUAUAAUUUAUAACUUAACAAAAAUCUUAGAUGGUUGUUUUAAUGUUUGCCGCCUCAUAUUCCAAAUAUGGUUUAAUUUCCCAUUUGAUCCUUUUUGAUUUCUUUUAAUCUAUAAUUUAACUUUUACACUUAAUUCUAUUUAGUCCUUUUUUCUAAUUAUUAUUAAUUAGACUAAAUUCACCUAAUUAAUAUCUAAUUAAACACUCAACUAAACUCAUAAUUACUUCUAAUAAUUAUUUAUGACUCAGUUUAUUAAGACGGAGGCCCGAUAAUGUACAUUUCCAAUGCCUAUGAAUUUUGAGUCAUUACACUAUAGGCAUUGAAAGUAUAAAUGAAUUAAAACUCUAUUUCUAGUCACUUUCAGAAUCAUGAAGUAUAUUAAACUGAUAUUGAUCUUGAUGAACAUCCACUUCAUAAUUAAAUAUUUAUAACACACCUAUUUGAAUGUCCAUGAGUAGAUAAUGUGCCUCAUUAAAUCGCUAAAUUAUUUUAUGGAUCCUUCCCACCACAUCAUUUAUGGUCCAUUUCCAAUUAUUUAAUGACAUUUCAACAAUUUUUUCGUGUCAUUGAUACACAAUUUGGUAAUUUUUUUAUCUUUAACCUCGAACUUCGAACUCAUUUGAGGUUUAGGGUUUAUAGUUCAUGGUUCGAGAUUGAGUUCAGGUUUAAGGUUCAGGGUUCAACGUAAAAAGAUUAUCAAAAUUAUGUGUCAAUAACAUGAUUUUUUUUGAAAUGUCAUUAAAUAAUUAAAAAAAUAGACAAUGGAUGAUGUGGUGGAAACGGUUCAUAAAAUAAUUUCUCCAUUAAACCUUAUUAACAUGAAUGCCUUUUGAGAAAAAUAUUAUUAGUAAAAGAAAAAGAGUACAAAUAUUUAUGAUACGCAUGACAAGUUAUCUCAUUAUAAAUUUUAUCAAGAAAAUUCAGUGAGAUAAAACAUCGAUUAAAACAAAAAGAAUACAAGGUGCAUUUACUGUUAUUUAUGACAACCAAGUAAUAUAUUAUAUUCUAAGUAUUAAAAUAUUCAUAACAAGAUUAAAAAUAUUAACAUAUAUAAUAAUUAAAUUAAAUUUACAUAUGGUUGGAAUUAAAUAUUAAAAUAUUAAACACUGACUCACUUUAAGUUACAAAACCUAAAGGAACAACCUUCGUCUUUGUUUUUAGUGGUACAGCUUUAAAAACUUGCGUGGCCCAUGAGUUUUGUGCAACAACUUGAUGUGUUCUUUUUCUCCGCCCAUCGAAGGAGUGCUUUUUUCACGUGAUAUCAACAUCAAAAGGUCCAAAUUUUCACACUACACAUCUCGUUUCACCAUUCACACCUAUUUUCUAGUUGAUUGAAUUUUAUUGGUCAUUUAAUAAAAUCCAUUAUGCCAACGGGGCCCUCUCGUUUGGUACAGUUGAUAAGGGCAGAUGUAUUGGUACCGUUGUUUAAAUUGGUAUGAUUAUUCGAUUCAAUCAGUUUUUUUAAAUUGGUAUGAUUAUUCGAUUCAAUCAGUUUUUUUCGAUUAAACUGAAUUGUAUAGUUGAAUUUAUUGAAUCAGAUUUUUUAAUAUUUUUAUUUUAUGAGUUUUUAAUAAUUUAUAUAAUCAAAUCAGUCGAAUUGAUUGGAGGCGGUGAACUGGAGUUUUAAUUGAUUUGAUCUCUGAUCUGAUUCUAAAAAUCUUGGGUUUGGGUUCUGAAAUACCCACAUUUGAGAUUUUGUCAUGCGCAAUUAUAUGUAUGGGUUUUCGAGACCCGUACAAUUAUCAUGUGUGGAUUUUAGUUUGGUUCAUUGAAUUGUAUCAAUUCUUAGUUUAUUUGUGUUGUAAUAGUUUGAUUAUACUUUGUGAUUAUCCGUAUGGUUUGUUUGUACUAUAAGCCAGUUAUAGUUUAAUAUUUGUGGUU
rnacentral:lncRNA from 1 species